GCUUCCGUGGCUCAGAUGGUUAGAGCGCAGGUCUCAUAAUAUGAUGGCUCAUAACUGAGCCAGUAAUCCUGAGGUCAUGAGUUCGAUCCUCAUCGGGAGCA
rnacentral:tRNA from 1 species